rnacentral:rRNA from 1 species
UAAAGUUACUAAGGGCGUACGGAGGAUGCCUUGGUACAUGGAGUCGAUGAAGGGCGUGGUAAGCUGCGAUAAGCUUCGGGGAGGUGCAAACAACCUUAAAUCCGGAGAUUUCCGAAUGGGGCAACCCGAUCCGGGUUAUGCCGGAUCACUCCUGCCUGAAUACAUAGGGCAGGUUGAGACAACGGGGCGAACUGAUACAUCUAAUUAACCCCAGGAACAGAAAAUAAUCAUGAUUUCCUAAGUAGCGGCGAGCGAACAGGAAAGAGCCUAAACCAUUGAUGUGUCAAGCUCAUGAGUUUUGCAUCAGUGGGGUUGUGGGACCAAUCUGGAACCUGUCAUGACGGGUUCGGCAAGUCAAAAAGAAUAUCAUUAAAUGAAGUGGCAUGGAAAGGCCAGCCGUAGAAGGUGAUAGCCCUGUAAUUGAAAAUGAUAUUCCUUGCUGGGAUUGGCACCCGAGUAACACGGGACACGAGAAAUCUUGUGCGAAUCUGCCAGGACCAUCUGGUAAGGCUAAAUACUCCCAUGUAACCGAUAGUGAACCAGUACCGUGAGGGAAAGGUGAAAAGUACUCCUAACGGAGAGUGAAAUAGAACCUGAAACCGUAUGCCUACAAGCGGUCAGAGCUCCGAUUUGUUCGGGGUGAUGGCGUGCCUUUUGCAUAAUGAGCCAGCGAGUUGCUCGUAUGUUGCAAGGUUAAGGCCCAAAGGCCGGAGCCGAAGCGAAAGCAAGUCUGAAUAGGGCGAUUAGUAACAUGCGGCAGACCCGAAACCGAGUGAUCUAACCAUGGUCAGGCUGAAGUUCCGGUAACACGGAAUGGAGGGCCGAACCCACCAGCGUUGAAAAGCUGGGGGAUGAACUGUGGUUAGGGGUGAAAGGCCAAUCAAACUCGGAGAUAUCUGGUUCUCACCGAAAUGCCUUUAGGGGCAGCGUCACGUUAGUGUAUCGGGGGUAGAGCACUGAAUGGGCUAGGGGGCCUACAAGCUUACCAACCCCAAUCAAACUCCGAAUACCGAAUACAUGAUGCGUGGCAGUGAGGCUGCGGGGGAUAAGCUUCGUAGCCGAGAGGGAAACAACCCAGACCAUCAGCUAAGGUCCCUAAAUUAAUGCUAAGUGAUAAAGGAUGUAAAAUCGCCCAGACAGCUAGGAGGUUGGCUUAGAAGCAGCCAUCCUUUAAAGAAAGCGUAACAGCUCACUAGUCAAGGGGUUUUGCGCCGAUAAUAUCCGGGACUAAGCAUUGUACCGAAGCUAUGGAUUUCCGCUUUGCGGAAGUGGUAGGUGAGCGUUCCAUUAACUUGUGAAGGUUGACCCGUGAGGGCAGCUGGAGGAGAUGGAAAUGAGUAUGCUGGCAUGAGUAGCGAUAAAGCCCGUGAAAUUCGGGCUCGCCGAAAGCUCAAGGUUUCCUGAGUAAAGUAACUCUGCUCAGGGUUAGUCGGACCCUAAGCCGAGGCCGAAAGGCGUAGGCGAUGGAAAACGGGUUUAAUAUUCCCGUACCGGUAUAGGAUUGUUUGAGUGAUGGGGGGACGCAGAAGUGAAAGGUCAUCCCGGUUUUGAUAGUCCGGGUUUAAGUGUGUAUGGGGUUCUGGCAGGAAAAUCCGCCGGAACUUUACCCAGAGGCACGAAUAGGAGGGCCUAGCCCACAAACUGACCCUAAUCAUACUGCCAAGAAAAGCCUCUAAACGAGAUCCUAGACCGACCGUACCGUAAACGGACACACGUGAGCGAGGAGAGAAUCCUAAGGCGCUUGAGAGAAUUCAAGUAAAGGAACUAGGCAAAUUAGCCCCGUAACUUCGGGAGAAGGGGUGCCCUUAUUAUGUGAAGGACUUCGCGUCCGGAGCAGAAAGGGGUCGCAGCGACCAGGCCCAAACGACUGUUUACUAAAAACACAGGUCUAUGCUAAGUCGUAAGACGAAAUAUAUGGACUGACACCUGCCCGGUGCUGGAAGGUUAAAUGGAGAGGUUAGUCCCGAUUUAUCGGGACGAAGCUUUGAAAUGAAGCCCCAGUAAACGGCGGCCGUAACUAUAACGGUCCUAAGGUAGCGAAAUUCCUUGUCGGGUAAGUUCCGACCUGCACGAAUGGUGUAACGAUUUGGGCACUGUCUCUACUUGAAACUCAGCGAAAUUGAAGUGUCGGUGAAGAUGCCGGCUACCCGCGGCAGGACGAAAAGACCCCGUGAACCUUUACUAUAACUUAGCAUUGGAUUCUGGUUCUGCAUGUGCAGGAUAGGUGGGAGGCUUUGAAACUCGGACGCUAGUCCGGGUGGAGCCAACCUUGAAAUACCACCCUUGUAUUGCUUGAAUUCUAAUCCCGACCCGUGAAUCCGGGCGAGAAACAGUGUUAGGUGGGUAGUUUGACUGGGGCGGUCUCCUCCUAAAAGGUAACGGAGGAGCCCAAAGGUUCCCUCAGCACGGUCGGUAAUCGUGCGUAGAGUGCAAAGGCAUAAGGGAGCUUGACUGCGAGGUCGACGGACCGAGCAGGUGCGAAAGCAGGGCUUAGUGAUCUGGUGGUUCCGCAUGGAAGGGCCAUCACUCAUCGGAUAAAAGGUACUCCGGGGAUAACAGGCUUAUCUCCCCCAAGAGUUCACAUCGACGGGGAGGUUUGGCACCUCGAUGUCGGCUCAUCACAUCCUGGAGCUGGAGAAGGUUCCAAGGGUUGGGCUGUUCGCCCAUUAAAGUGGUACGUGAGCUGGGUUUAGAACGUCGUGAGACAGUUCGGUCUCUAUCCGCCGUGGGCGUAGGAUAUUUGAAGGAAGCUGCACCUAGUACGAGAGGACCGGUGUGGACGAACCUCUGGUGCACCAGUUGUCACAUCAGUGGCAUCGCUGGGUAGCUAUGUUCGGUCAGGAUAAGCGCUGAAAGCAUAUAAGUGCGAAACCUAUCCUAAGAUUAGAUAUCCCUACCGUAAGGUAAUAAGGCUCGUUGUAGACUACGACGUUGAUAGGCCACAGGUGUACGUGCAGUAAUGCAUUUAGCCGAGUGGUACUAAUUAGCCGAACGGCUUUAUCAA